ACACACCCCCAGCCUCCCCCCCGCACCCCCCCCUUCCCUCCCUGCCCGCACUUGGCACCGUUUAGCUGCCUGCCUGCAAACUUAACAACCCCGGUUCUUGGUAUAAGCACUCAAAUUACCCUUCUUUCUACAUAUAAACACGGCCCGGGGUGUGCGGCUCUCCCCGGCCGCGGGGUCCCCCCGGCGCAGCCCGGCUCCCCCGCACCGGCCCCGGCCUGGGCCCCGGCCCCGGCCGGAGGAAGUUUCUGCUGCGGGACACGGCGGGAGAAAACGAGCCGGAUCCAGCACCCCCCCUCUCCGGGGCUCCCCCGGGCCAGCGCUCAGGCGGUGUUGACAGAAGAGGAUGGGUAGGAGAUAUCAAUGGCAGGCACACGUGUCCCAGGAGAGGGUGAGACACCAGCGGAGACGGAGCAAGAAAUGAGCCUUGGACGGCUGCAGAAAAGAAACUCAAACCCUCUUCGGAAAGUGGGGGGCACCUACAGGCUGGGGGCACCCCAUGAAACACCCACCCCUCCAAGCAUCGGGGAGGAUCCAGUGGCCAUCAGGGCCUGGCAUGGGCCCCAUCGGUGUUGGGGAAGGUGCAGGACUGUGCGAGGGGCUGGGAGACACCCUGCAUCCCUUGUUCACGGAGCUUUUACAGCAGAGAGGGGUGCAGGAGGAAACCUCCCCUGAAUGUCAGCUGCUCUGGUAGGGCUGUGCCAGACCUUCGCUGCAGCCAAAAACAAGAUGGGGAAGAAGAGAUACUGAACUCCUCUGCAGCGGGGUGGGGGCUUGUGCCUGCCAGGCUUGGUGUGGGGAUGCUCCCACCUCCAUUGGCCCUCCCUGCGCUACCAACAAUUCCCAUGCAGGCAGCCGAGCUGAGCAGAGCGGAGCCGGGAGCGGCCAGGGAGGGAGGGAAGGAGGAAGGCAGCAGCCGCAGUGACAGGGCCUACAGCCUGGGCAACCCUGUGAUGUUCAUGUGCUGGUGACCGGGAGCACCAUGGCAUGGUGCUUCUUACGGCAUGGACAUACAGGGGAGGAUGCUCGCAGGGGCACAGCAGAGCAAAGGGGGAGAGGUUGGGAGAUGCCACUCAGGACCCAUCACGCUGCUGGGAUGUGCCCACAGGUAGAGGAGGACAUGUGAAGGGGACGAGCGGGCACCCAGGGAACACAAUUACUCCAGCACCUAGAGUAAAGGCCUGAAGGUUGCAUGUAUGAAGCAAAGGUGGUUUGGGCCCAGAUGGGAGAGGAAACCCAUUUCUGGAGCACCUCCUCCAGUGGGAGAUGACUUCAGAGCAGUCAUGGAGGUUUGAGCUGGCCAAGGGUUUGGCUGAGAGAGGUUAGGCUGACAUUUCUAACUUGAUUGCAACGAAGCAGCUCUGCUGGGGAAGGUUGCAAUGUUUAUUAAUGGUAGUGAAGGAAGGGACCAGCAGAUUUUUAGAUCCCUGCAAGCGUAAGGAGGGAGAAUGGGCCCUUUCCCAGGCGUUGACCAUGGACCAUGACCAUACUGCUUCACCAUGGGGCUUCCCAGAUGUCAGCCAUGUCCCAAAAAAUAAAUGAUGAAGAAAGGGGGAAUAAACCCCAAUGCAAGGAAGGUGGCACAAGCCACCCCUCUGCCUUAGGGCUUCUCUCGCUAAAGGCUGGAUCAACCCUAUUUUGGGGGCCUGCAAGGCAAACCCCAAAUGCAGAGCAAAUGCCACUUGACGGGGGUCUCUCAUUUCACCUUCAGACCAGGGAAUCCCUGUUUCCACAGCUGCCGGGUGCAGACCCGUGGUCCCACCAUAGCAGCCUUUUCUCCCAAGUAAGAGCUUCCUUUGGGAAGGUGAUUUCACUCCCAUAUGCACACUCCCUGGUUUUCUUUGGGGUUGUGUCCCCCCUUUAGCAUCCUUUUACCCUAUUAAUAUCCUUUGACUGUCCUCACACCUGCAGACAAUCUGGUCCCCAACCACCUCCACCUCCCCCCUCCUCAAAAGCUUCCCUCAGCUGUCUUGAAGUCGUAGCUGAAAUCUGCGGUAUGUAGGAGGAGAAAUUCAGUCUGACAGCAGUUUAAAACACCGCACUACUUGGCAGAUUUAAAUGCUAUUUUAAAUAUAAGCUAUGACACAACGGACAAAAAUAGCAUUGAAAAUACCCUGUCAUGUUCCAUAUUGCGAGGAAUAGAGAAGCAGACCAGGCUAGAAAGGAGCAGAGAGAGGGGCCAGAUGGAGAGGAGAGGUUAUUUUAUUUGUUUUAAAGAAACUGGAUAAAUGUAUUUUGUAUGUGACUGGGUAAAUGUGUUUUAUGGAGCAUGGAGCCAAAUAAAAAAAAAAAAAAACCUUC